GUUAUAUUUAUACCCCAUUUUCAUAGCAGGAUGGGAGGGGGAAAAAUGAGCAUAUGGGCGUGACAAUGACAUUGUUUUUCACAAGUUAUAAACAGCUGUUUUUAGUUAUAAUUCGAUGUUACAUAAUGUAUGCAUAUUGGAUAAAACCCAGAUGAUUACAAAUACCGAAAUCUUGGACAAUUAACAAGGUCAUUCCAGAAUCCUUAUCAUGUCAUGUCAUGUCAUGUAAAUAUCCUUUUCCAGGAACAUAACAAAAUCAUGUUCCAAUAACAUUUCCCAUAAAUAGAUAAGUUUUAUUUCCGAGAAUUGGAGAUACAAUUCCAAAUUUAUUCUUGGGUCAAAUUAACCCUUAUAUGAACAGCUAGGAUAUUGAGCAUAAU